GAUGAACGCUGGCGGCGUGCUUAACACAUGCGAGUCGAACGAUGAAGCUCAGCUUGCUGGGUGGAUUAGUGGCGAACGGGUGAGUAACACGUGAGUAACCUGCCCUUAACUCUGGGAUAAGCCUGGGAAACUAGGUCUAAUACCGGAUAGGAGCGCCUACCGCAUGGUGGGUGUUGGAAAGAUUUAUCGGUUUUGGAUGGACUCGCGGCCUAUCAGCUUGUUGGUGAGGUAAUGUCUCACCAAGGCGACGACGGGUAGCCGGCCUGAGAGGGUGACCGGCCACACUGGGACUGAGACACGGCCCAGACUCCUACGGGAGGCAGCAGUGGGGAAUAUUGCACAAUGGGCGAAAGCCUGAUGCAGCGACGCCGCGUGAGGGAUGACGGCCUUCGGGUUGUAAACCUCUUUCAGUAGGGAAGAAGCGAAAGUGACGGUACCUGCAGAAGAAGCACCGGCUAACUACGUG
rnacentral:rRNA from 1 species